AUUGAACGCUGGCGGCAGGCCUAACACAUGCAAGUCGAGCGGAUGAAGGGAGCUUGCUCCUGGAUUCAGCGGCGGACGGGUGAGUAAUGCCUAGGAAUCUGCCUGGUAGUGGGGGAUAACGUCCGGAAACGGGCGCUAAUACCGCAUACGUCCUGAGGGAGAAAGUGGGGGAUCUUCGGACCUCACGCUAUCAGAUGAGCCUAGGUCGGAUUAGCUAGUUGGUGGGGUAAAGGCCUACCAAGGCGACGAUCCGAAACUGGUCUGAGAGGAUGAUCAGUCACACUGGAACUGAGACACGGUCCAGACUCCUACGGGAGGCAGCAGUGGGGUAUAUUGGACGAUGGGCGAAAGCCUGAUCCAGCCAUGCCGCGUGUGUGAAGAAGGUCUUCGGAUUGUAAAGCACUUUAAGUUGGGAGGAAGGGCAGUAAGUUAAUACCUUGCUGUUUUGACGUUACCAACAGAAUAAGCACCGGCUAACUUCGUG
rnacentral:rRNA from 1 species